rnacentral:misc_RNA from 1 species
GUGGGAGGGGGCUUGCUCCCGAUAGCGGUGUGCCAGCCAGCACAUGUGUUUCUGAUACACCGCUAUCGGGAGCAAGCCCCCUCCCAC